GACGAACGCUGGCGGCGUGCUUAACACAUGCAAGUCGAACGGUAGUAUUGAAGAAGCUUGCUUUAGAGAUACUUUAGUGGCGGACGGGUGAGUAACGCGUGAGGAGCUGUCCUAUGCAGGGGGACAACAGUUGGAGACGACUGCUAAUACCCCAUAAGCCGAGAGGUAAAAGGAUUUAUCCGGCAGAGGAGGUACUCGCGUCCUAUCAGCUAGUAGGUGAGGUAACGGCUCACCUAGGCGAAGACGGGUAGCCGGCCUGAGAGGGCGAACGGCCACACUGGAACUGAGAUACGGUCCAGACUCCUACGGGAGGCAGCAGUGGGGAAUAUUGGGCAAUGGGGGGAACCCUGACCCAGCGACGCCGCGUGGGUGAAGAAAUCCUUCGGGAUGUAAAGCCCUGUUGUAUGGGAAGAGCGGAAGACGGUACCAUACGAGGAAGCCCCGGCAAACUACGUGCCAGCCGCCGCGGUAA
rnacentral:rRNA from 1 species